GUUGUCUUGAAAGCACCAUAAAUCCAGAGAAUGCCAGACUUUCAUGCCAAAGUUUGUCCACAAAGGACCGCCACGCCACCUUCCUGUUCAAGUGAGCACAGCACAACAAGUCCCUGCUGCUCCCGUGCCCUUCGACGCUCUUCAGGAAAGUCAGCUCUUUGAUUCAGAGCCUCUGAUCCCCACCGGAGGGCGCUAUUUAUCCACCAACGGCCAGCCCAGAACCAGGAGCCCCCAGGAGAUCGCAGUACCACCGAACCCCACACGGAGGCACUAAUGGCACAGCGCAGCCCCCACAACGCCACAGACACAGAGGGACAGAGGCCUCCAUCAUCUUUGGGGAUGAAAGCAGCUCCUCUGACCACAGUGACUUGGAAAGCUCCGUCAGCCCUCUGCGGGCUGUCUGCCCACGCCUACGUUUCCCAGCAGCCCUCACUCCACAGGAAGUGCCCCCAGUCAGGAAACAAGCUCUUCUGUUCUUGAAGCGAGAUAAGCUGCAGCCCUCUCUGUCUUCGGGAAGAAGGAGUACAACAGUGCCAAGACCCGCCUCCCAGAACCAGUUCCGGUGUUGUCCAAUAGCAGGCCAGCGCUUGUUCCUGAGGAUGAAAAUCUGAUAGACGAUUGACUGGAGGAUGAUAUGGUGUCGUCGUCUACCAUUAGGGGUUUCUCACUGAGGAAGACCGACAACGACCCCCGAUCUUCCACGCCGCCCCAGAACCACCACAGCACUCAGCAGCCUAACAACCCGCUGCCUGUAGCAACACCACCUCCUACUGGCCAGCACCUUGGCAGGUAAACAGCAGCACCACCUCCUACUGGCCAGCACCUUGGCAGGUAAACGGCAACACCACCUCCUACUGGCCAGCACCUUGGCAGGUAAACGGCAACACCACCUCCUACUGACCAGCUCCUUGGCAGGUAAACAGCAGCACCACCUCCUACUGACCAGCACCUUGGCAGGUAAACAGCAACACCACCUCCUACUGGCCAGCACCUUGGCAGGCACAGGGCACCUGAAGGCAGUGAAUCUGUCCCAUAAUGCCCUGGGCUCUAUGGGCUUUGAGUUGGUCCUGAAGACUCUGCCUCUCCACUGUCUCACACACCUCCUUCUGUCUGCCAUCCGCUGUGAACCCGCUGACCACCCUGCUUUAGAACAUCUGAGGUCAGUCCUCCUGUCCCAGGAUGACUGCUCCCUUACAGUAGGCCUAUAGUAGUUACAGUAGGCCUAUAGUAGUCAAUUGGUUCUCAGUCUGACUCUCAGGCUCUCAGUCCCUCUAAUUUGUUCCCUCUCUCUCUUUCUUCAGGUUGUCAGGCAGCCGGACCCUGGGACAACUCUAGUUUGGACGGCCUGUCAGAACAGGUCCAGGACCUGUGGCUGUGGCUGUGCUCACAGAAGCUCAACAAACUGGACCGUGAGGCGCUGCAGCAGACAUGGGGCCAGAGGAGGUUAACUCCCAAGUGGCGCAGUGGUCUAAGGCACUGCAUCGCAGUACUAGCUGUGCCACUAGAGAUCCUAGUUCAA